AUGACAAACAAUCACGAGGCUAGAUGCAGUGUUGCUCAAUUCUCUGUUCAGUUAUCGAAAAGUAAGAACCCUAGUGUUAAGAAUGAUGGUUGUCAGCGCUUAGUACAAUUCAAAGUGUUGUUGGGCAGAGGGAGUCAGAUGUCUUCAAAGACGGGUGAUAAAGUUUGCUUGUGUGUGGACAAUUUAGAAGAAAAACCUUAG